rnacentral:rRNA from 2 species
GGCGCCUUCGGUGUCCGAGUUGUAAUUUGAAGAAGGUAACUUUGGUUUUGGCUCUUGUCUAUGUUCCUUGGAACAGGACGUCACAGAGGGUGAGAAUCCCGUGCGAUGAGAUGCCCAAUUCCAUGUAAAGUGCUUUCGAAGAGUCGAGUUGUUUGGGAAUGCAGCUCUAAGUGGGUGGUAAAUUCCAUCUAAAGCUAAAUAUUGGCGAGAGACCGAUAGCGAACAAGUACAGUGAUGGAAAGAUGAAAAGAACUUUGAAAAGAGAGUGAAAAAGUACGUGAAAUUGUUGAAAGGGAAGGGUUUGAGAUCAGACUUGGUAUUUUGUAUGGCUUACUCUCGGGUGGGUCCUCUGCAGUUUAUCGGGCCAGCAUCAGUUUGGAUGGUAGGAUAAUGACAUUGGAAUGUGGCUC